UACGAAGGGGGCUAGCGUUGCUCGGAAUCACUGGGCGUAAAGCGCACGUAGGCGGCUCUUUAAGUCAGGGGUGAAAUCCCAAGGCUCAACCUUGGAACUGCCUUUGAUACUGGGGAUCUCGAGUCCGGAAGAGGUUGGUGGAACUGCGAGUGUAGAGGUGAAAUUCGUAGAUAUUCGCAAGAACACCAGUGGCGAAGGCGGCCAACUGGGCCGGUACUGACGCUGAGGUGCGAAAGCGUGGGGAGCAAACAGG
rnacentral:rRNA from 1 species